GAAGAAGACGAAGAAGAAGAAGAAGAAGAAGAAGAAGAAGAAGAAGAAGAAGAAGAAGAAGAAGAAGAAGAAGAAGAAGAAGAAGAAGAAGAAAGAAGCACAAAUGAGCUUUGGGAUAGAGUGUAAGCUGAUGAGAAGACAGAGGCUGGUAUUUCUGGACAAGCAGCAUGGAAGCCCAUGUGGAUCAACAUUCCAUGCCGACUUGACUGCUUGCUGGAACAACCACAUUACUGAAGCUACUGAAGAUCACAGAAACAAUUUAUUGGUCCCUUUAGCUCUCUGGCCUCCGUUGACUUAAGAUGAUGAUGAUGAUAAUGGAUGAUUGCUUUGGCAAAAGGUAUAAGUGGAGUAAAGCAAGCUGAACUCUCUAAUAAAGAACCUGGUAAACUCUA